rnacentral:rRNA from 1 species
AGAACGAACGCUGGCGGCAUGCCUAACACAUGCAAGUCGAACGAGACCUUCGGGUCUAGUGGCGCACGGGUGCGUAACGCGUGGGAAUCUGCCCUUAGGUACGGAAUAACAGUGAGAAAUUACUGCUAAUACCGUAUGACGUCUUCGGACCAAAGAUUUAUCGCCUAGGGAUGAGCCCGCGUUGGAUUAGCUAGUUGGUGGGGUAAAGGCCUACCAAGGCGACGAUCCAUAGCUGGUCUGAGAGGAUGAUCAGCCACACUGGGACUGAGACACGGCCCAGACUCCUACGGGAGGCAGCAGUGGGAAUAUUGGACAAUGGGCGAAAGCCUGAUCCAGCAAUGCCGCGUGAGUGAAGAAGGCCUUAGGGUUGUAAAGCUCUUUUACCCGGGAAGAUAAUGACUGUACCGGGAGAAUAAGCCCGGCUAACUCCGUGCCAGCAGCCGC